rnacentral:rRNA from 1 species
AAAAAGAAAAGCAAGUGGUCAGGAUGAUUAUUGGGCCUAAAGCAUCCGUAGCCUGUUCUGUAAGUUUUCGGUUAAAUCUAUGCGCUCAACGUAUAGGCUGCCGAAAAUACUGCAGAACUAGGGAGUGGGAGAGGUAGACGGUACUCGGUAGGAAGGGGUAAAAUCCUUUGAUCUAUUGAUGACCACCUGUGGCGAAGGCGGUCUACCAGAACACGUUCGACGGUGAGGGAUGAAAGCUGGGGGAGCAAACCGG